UCCUGAUAUUGAAAAUGACAUAACUGAUCUUGUACUGCUCAAUUUCGUUGAGAGUGCCAAAAGACUCGUUCAAUAUCUUGAGCAUAUCUUCUAGCUGAGCUUUCUCAAAUUUAUGGCUGAACUCAUUGUUCACGGCCGUCCACAUGAUACAGUGCACCAUGGUGCGAUCGUUGAGCAACUUCAGGUAAGUAUCUCAAAU
rnacentral:lncRNA from 1 species